rnacentral:rRNA from 1 species
AAACUAAUUUAAUUUGGCGGCAUUUUAUCUAUUUAGAGGAAUUUGUCUUUUAAUCGACAAUCCACGUUAAAUUUUACUUUAAUCAAAAACUUAUAUACCGCCAUCUAAAGAAUUAAUUAAAAAAUAUUUCUCUAAAUAAAUUAUAAAAAGUUAGGUCAAGGUGUAAUUUAUAUUAAAGNAUAAGAUGAAUUACAUUAAAAAUUAUUUAAAGACUACUAAUAUAUAUAUAAAUAUAAAUAAGAAUUUAAAAGUAAUAUAUAUAUAAUAAUAAUAAUAUAUGAUAAAGAUAAUAAAUGUGCACACAUCGCCC